GCGGGCGUGGCGAAAUUGGCAGACGCACUAGACUUAGGAUCUAGCGGGGUUAAACCUGUGGGAGUUCGAGUCUCCCCGCCCGCA
rnacentral:tRNA from 1 species